CCUACGGGAGGCAGCAGUGGGGAAUAUUGGACAAUGGGGGCAACCCUGAUCCGGCCAUGCCGCGUGUGUGAAGAAGGCCCUCGGGUUGUAAAGCACUUUCAGUGAGGAAGAACGCCUGGUGGUUAAUACCCAUCAGGAAAGACAUCACUCACAGAAGAAGCACCGGCUAACUCCGUGCCAGCAGCCGCGGUAAUACGGAGGGUGCGAGCGUUAAUCGGAAUUACUGGGCGUAAAGCGCGCGUAGGUGGCUUGAUAAGCCGGUUGUGAAAGCCCCGGGCUCAACCUGGGAACGGCAUCCGGAACUGUCAAGCUAGAGUGCAGGAGAGGAAGGUAGAAUUCCCGGUGUAGCGGUGAAAUGCGUAGAGAUCGGGAGGAAUACCAGUGGCGAAGGCGGCCUUCUGGACUGACACUGACACUGAGGUGCGAAAGCGUGGGUAGCAAACAGGAUUAGAUACCCCGGUAGUC
rnacentral:rRNA from 1 species